GACAGAGGUGCCGAGCGUUAGGCGGAAUCACUGGGCUUAAAGCGUGUGUAGGCGGAUCUGUAAGUACCUUGUGAAAUCCCACGGCUCAACCGUGGAACUGCUUGGUAUACUGCGGGUCUUGAGCCACCUAGGGGCUAGUGGAACAAACGGUGGAGCGGUGAAAUGCGUAGAUAUCGUUUGGAACGCCAAUGGUGAAAACAACUUGCUGGGGGUGUGCUGACGCUGAGACACGAAAGCCAGGGGAGCAAACGGG
rnacentral:rRNA from 1 species